UCUGAAUAUAAUUCCAUAUUUUUAUUAGUUCAACUUUAACUUUAGAGAAAUCUGUACAUUUUGAGAUAUUUUUCUUGUUUUUGUGUUGGUUAACUAUAACUCCUAACUGAAUGGUCUUAUAUUUCAAUUACCACGUACAUUUUUUAAGAAAAUGGGUAGGUUAACAGAAAUGACAAGGAAAACUUAAAAGUUCUAAUUUUUCCUUGACACUCAACAUGAUUAUAAGUAGAAAAGGCUCACUUAGAAAAAUAGGAUAAAGUUUAGAGCAUAAGUCAAAUUUUCUGUAUAUACCUAUGCUGUCAAACUUCUUAUUCUUUGUUUUUGAUGGAGUCUUAUUGUAUAAUAUUUAUUUCUUUUGAAUUGUGUUAUAAGCAAAAAAUACUCUUCCUAGGCUCAAAGUGUCAGUGUUCUUUGCUCCUUUCACAUAUUUUGGCUUUGGGUGUAAUAUAAAGCUUGGGAAAAUGCUAUUUAUGAAAUUUCAGUACUGUAUAAAAUGGUGAUGGAGUUUGUAUGCAGCAUCACUUCCUUAAAAUAAGGGAAACAUUGUUUGUUGUCAAUAUUUCAGCAUGAACUUGUUGCCUUAUAAGCUAUGCAUUUAAGUGUGUAAUUGGUACAGAUUCUGUUGUGUGCUUUCUUCUAUGUCUAAAAUAUUUGGCAUGUCACAUCUAGAAUUCUUAAUUUAUGUUCUGACUUGAAAGUUAAGUGAAACAUGACUGUGUCGUGCACUAUUUUAGGCGUAGCACUUGUUUUUCAUCUUUAUACUUUCAAUUAACUUUGCAUUUUAAAUUUCCAUGAUUGUAUGAAAAUAGUAACCCAAUCGCAGUGUCUGAAGACUUCCAAAUCAGCUUUUGUUUUAAAAUGAAAAUCUACAAUAUAUUCAUUAGGUUAGAAGUUCCAUAAUAAUUUAUUAUUUUUAAUACUUCUACUUUAGUAGAAUUAUUAAACAAAACAAAACUACUUGUACUAUGCUGGAAUUUUGCCACCAUGUGACUUACUGGGGCAGAGAAAACUCAGGGCUAUCUAGAGUUUAUGCAAGAGUACCAAGGAACCUACUUAGCAAAUCACACGAAAGCAGGGAGCCCACGUUUGCCAUUACGCAAAAUUCAACUUAAAAUUGCUUGGCAGAGAAUAGUUUUUGAUUACUUAUAAGAUAAAUAUGGAAAUGUAUUUUGUUUAUAUAAAUUUAUUUAAAAUAUGAACAUUUUAUUUCCCAUCGGGAAAUUAAGAAAGUAACAGUAGCAAAUGAGUAAAGCUGAUGGCAAUUGAUGUCUUCUGUAAUCAUUUUGUUAAAUAAAUUUACAAAAACAAAAUUUUAAGUUACUUGGAAAUGGUUAGGAAUUAGUAUCUUAAAAUGGUAUCGUUGUGGUUUUAGAAGAUAUUCUAAAUAUCUUUUCUUUUGUGAAACAUACUGUUCUCUGUUUGACAAUGCUUUGUUUGAGGUCCCUCCACAAGCUUCUACCUACAUGGACUUUAUGUACUAUUUAGUGAAGACAGUAAUCUCUUUGCUCCUGAGGGCCUCUUCCAAACAGAAAAAAAAUCAGUUGGAAUAUAAAAAUUUCAUAAAAAUAUUAAUAUUAAAUAGAAUUUCUAUAAUAUAGUUUUUCAAAGUGUUUUAAUGCAAAUUUUCUGAUAUUUGACUUUUGUUUUUUCCUCUAGCUUUUCUUUUAUGUUUCAUUAUUUCUCUUACCUCCUUUUAAAACAUUCCCUCACUCUUUUAAAAUUAUCUUUAGUCUCUAAUUUUGAGAAUAACCAGCUAUUAUUUAACCUAAUCAUUCUAGUGUUUAUCCUUCUAUGAAAGAGAAUCCCUUGGUGGUCUAGAUUAUUUCAGAUGUGUCACACACAGAAACAAAAACCAGAAUUUGGAAAUUGUAAAGGAUAUAAGAGACUUUACAAUUCAAUUUCUAUAUUUUAUAGAUGAAGAAACCAAGGAUCAGAGAUUAAAUGACUGCUAGUUAUUUGCAGAACUGACAGGAGCACUGAAUGGUGACACCCACCGCAGUGCCCUCCCAUAUCCAACGUUUACUAAUUAAGAAAUAAUUAGCAUACAUCGUAACCUGCUUUGAAUGUACACGAACAUAAUGUGCUGUUUAAUGGUGAUGAUCAAAUCCCACUUCUCUUUUUAUUUCUGCUAAAAUAGUUUGUUCACUCAUGGUGAGGUCAGUGAGAGAAACUAAAAUAGGCUCACGAAGAAUUGUGAAAUAUUUGCCAAGUUAGGUAGGCAACUAUUGGAGUGCUGAAUAAAAUUUAGGAAUUGUGAGAACAUAGAAUUUCUUAGUGCAAGUAAUGGUAAGAGACUCUUCAUGACUCUUUUCCCCUCUUAGCUGUAGGAAUUGUUCUGUCUCUUUAUGCGUUGGAACGGGAGUGAAAGGUGAUUUGGUAGUUGAAUUUGGGACCAUGUCUAGUAGCAUAUUAUUUCUUCUCACUCUUCUUAGUUUCUCAUUAGUUUAUCUUUGGCAUUCAUUUUCUUUCAGUACAUUAAAAAAUUUUUGCAGGAUUUCAUCAACUCCAACAAUCAGUCUAUAAUUCCUGUUUGUCUAAUAUUCUUGCCCCUGUUCAGAUUGCUACACACUGGACUUCUUAACAAGAUUUCAAUUUCCUAUACCCCUGUAUGAAAGAUUUCGUCUCAUGCCUCCUCCAGUAAUUUUUCACUUGUCACGAUGAAGAGGAUAUUCAUUAAUGGCAGAGAAGACUUUCUUUUAAAUUUUAAAAAGACUAGCAAUCUAGUUAUACUCUAGCUUUUAGCUAACAUAUAAGAAAUGUCUACUUUUGCCUUAAUGCUAAAUUCCACUUAAGAGAUGGUGACUUGGGCAGAGAAUGUGAAAUACGUAUCCCAUAAUGUGAUUGCUAAAUUUACUUUUGCUGUUUCAUACUAUUCCUUUGUUGUGCUUUGGCUAUCUUUUUAAAUUAAGCCGUUACAUCAUAUGGUUUGGAAGAUAAUAUUAUAUCAAAGUUAGGUAAUAAUCCUUAUUUUAAAAUCUCUCUAUUAAGAACUGCCUGGAUACUUCUUAAUUCAGUUGUAGGUUAGUACAACAUUUGGGAGAACAGGAGCUCUAUCUCAUCCUAGAUUUUAAUAUUUUCAGAUAUGACUAUAUUUUCUUAUCAUUUGUUCAUGUUUUCCUACAAGAAGUUUUUUCUUUCCAGAUCUAACAGUUUUAACUGCACGAUUUUUACCCUGGGCUACGUGAACCUGAAUGUUAACACAGCCCUAAGAAUCUGAAUAUAUUAGGAAAUUAGCCUAUACCGAGGGUCACCACAUCCAGCUGUGCAUGUUGUGCUCCGCACGAAAGUACUCUCAGCUGAGGGGCAGGUAGGGCUGAAAUCCAACCUGCAAUUGGCUCCUCAACUCAGAAAUAUUUUUAUAUUUUGCAAAAAGCACCUUAUGUGCUUAUAUAUCUUCAGGAAAUGGCCCUGCUUACAUAUCUUCCGAAAAUGAGAGUUAAAAUUUCAAAAUAGUUCUUGACAUCUGCAGAUUGAAUAGAGAAAUUAGAAAAAAAUACUUUAGAUUUUCAUCCUAGCAUUCCCAAGAGAUCAAAAGAAAUUACAUGUUUGUCCUGUUGGUUUAACUUUUUGACCCAAUCUGCAGCAAGACAUAUGGACUCUAAUUUUGAUAUCUCAGUUGAGUUUUCAUCUCCUGUGCAAACCUAUUCAUUGACUUUGCCUGCAAGGAGGAAAUUGCAUCCCUAAGUUCUGUCUAACUAAUGCAGGCAUAAAAUGAGAUUUACCAAUAUGUCUAUUUCUUCCAAUAGGCUGAAUACAAGUAAUUAAAUAUUCUAAAAAUCGAACUCUUUUUUUCCUCUUUAUAUAAAACAAGGGUAUCUGAGCCAAAAUAUUAAAUUCUAGUUCAUUUUCACGAUGACUCCUGUCGAGCUCUUAUACUCUUCUGCUCCUAGACUAAAGAAAAUUAUUCAAACUUAAUCUGUGUUUCAGGUUUUAAAAUGUCCUAAAAACAGAAAAUCAGAUUCAAAUCUCAAAAGAAAAAAAGGAAUUUUGGAUUGACUUUCAAAGUACUAAUACUAAUUAUACUUUUCUUUUGGUAGUGUGACUUUUCUUAUACCUAAGAACAUAUUGUAAAUGUCAAAACCAUUGCAUUUUGACAUUGCAAAGCAUGCCUUGAACUCUUGAACUACUGUGAAAAGAGUCACUGUUGUAAGGACUUAUUGUAAGCUAGCUAAUAUUCUUAAGUAUGUAAAAAGAGGUUACCUUUCAAGAGACAGGCCCAAAUGAAUGUAUAUAAGGAAUAUGAAGAAAUAAAUCAGGUUUUAAAAUAAGAAUUGGGCAAUAAAUUGUAUCAAAAAAUAUGCAGAUGGCAAUUUUGGUAGUUGUAAUUUAGUUGUUGAAGCUGAAGAGAAUUCCAAAAUCCAAAGAGAAAUGAAUGAUAUUCAGAUGUUUCAUUAAUUUCUAGUCUGUGGAAAUAUGCAUUUUAUAGUAAUAUAUAUAUAUAUAUAUAUACUUAUUUUGUUUAGAAAUAAUAGUAUUUUAGAAUUUAGUAAGAACUCAAUGAUAGCCUUCAUACCAAAAUGUUUAACUUUACCAACAGCAAGUCAUAAAAGUAUUUAUUUUAAAGCUUUUUUAAUAUUAUUGCAUAACUUUCAGCUGCCUCUAGAUGUAAAUACGUAUCUGCCUAAAUGUUAUAUUUUUAUGUAUGCAUUUUCUGAAAAUGUAUUGUUUUGUAAAGUGGCAAAUAUAAUAAAUUAAGCACUCCUUGCACUUGUUUCUGUGAAGCAUAUAGAGCUCUAUUUUAAAUAAAAAGGAAAUGUGUC
ensembl:lncRNA